CGAAUCGUCUGGGCCAAUGACCAAUCAAAUUUCUUUUGAUUCUCGAGGGAGACAAAGCUAGACAACGGGUAGUAGAGGGCUACAUAAUUCUUCUACUUCCCUUCGCUUCCGUUUCGUCUUCACUCAAUCUAGCAGGACAGGAAAAUAUAUGGAUAAGAAUUAUUAAUAUUUUGUUAAACAUUUCGGUGACUAGACUGCGUCUUCUUGUCUGCUUCUGGCUUCUUCCCAUGUGCUCACUAUGUCUACUGGGGUGAGUAUAAAGAAACUGUGUCCACUAUCUACUCAGUCUAGAGCUACAUUUGUGCUCUAAAUUUUGGACAAGUAUAACUAAAUUCCUCAAUAGAAUGUGGACAACUUGUGGGUGUCCCUCAACUCUGUCACUCAUUAAUUCAGGAAAAAAGAUAGCAAUGAAUGCCAUUGACCUUCACGUAUGUGCCCUAUGCUGCCACAUCUCCUGUUUAUGAUUCAGUGAGAGUAUGAUAGAUGCCUACUUUGAAUCUUAUUGGCAGCACAUUUCUUUAACAAAAGGUCUCUUGUGUUCUUCUCCUAUAGCUCCACGUUUCUCUGCUAGCCACCACCCCAUCUUUCAGUUCAAAGAACUGAAUGAUCCUUAAGAGUUUGAUGUAGAAAUGUAGGCUCAUUGAAGCACAUUCAUCAAUAUCCCAUUUAUUCUUCCAACUGGAAAUGGUCCUCUAUUGCGUCAUUUUAGCAUUUAGUACAAGUUUUAGGUUUAUUUUGAAGUGACAACGUGGAUGACUACCUAAUGAAGAUCUGAUAGGAAAGAUGUUGAAUCCUAAUCAAAAUAGAUUUGAAAUAAGACGGUGUGGGUUGGUUUCUCCAAUGCUUCUUCAAUUUUUAGCAGUUCCUAUGUGAAUGAGAUAUGAAAAAUGAGCUGAUGAACUACUUAGUGAAUUUAGUGAAUGGUUAAGCAUGUAGUUGGUUAUUUUGGUCCAAGGCAAAAAGGACAAUACCAAGAAAUUCAACCCCCUUAAUGUUACUGGUCCAUCGAAGUACGACCUUCAGAAAUUUGAAAUGCAAUUCAAUUAUUUCUUGUGGUGGAGGGACCAAAAAUAAUCACAAAAAGAUAAAAAAAAUAAAAUUCUAGUCUCCUCUAGGUACUCUGCAUUGUAGCCGCAAUGUUAUUGAUAGAAAAGCAAUGUACGUGUUAGAAAAUUUCAAUGUAAUCUUGAGAUGUAACAGAUUUUGAAGUGAAAAUGUACCCAAAAAGAAUAUUGAAGUGAAAUUUGUCCUAGUUUACACAAAUUUUCAAAUCAUGGCAUAAUUUA